CAGCACCAGGCCACCGGGAGGCGGGGCGGGGCCUCCUACGGAUUCCUGGGUGGAGUGUGGACAAGCGGCCUUUGCAUCCUUCGCCGCUGGUUGGAAAUGCAGUUUUGGACCCCCUCCUCCCCCGCCAGGGCUCCCACCCAACCGGAAUCUGCAUUUUAACCGGACACCCAGGCGAUUCCUGUGCACAUUAAGUGUGAGACGACCUGAAGAAUCCUGACAUUCUAGGAUGGAGAGUGAGGAGGAUGAGUUGAGUCCAUGCACUGGGUGAUCUUGGAAAGGAUGGAGCUGUCACUCCAGUGACACCAAGCUUGGAGCUCUGCCUGUUGUAAGAAUUCCCUUCUCUCAAGACACACAUGUGGGGCAUGUCAUUGAACAAGGCUAAAGCAUCAUGAAAUACAGCCAACCAUUUCUUCCUUGAGCAAUCAAAUUGCUAGUCAUAAUUCCUAAGGAAUAAAAGCAGAUUUUUCGGACUAGGAAUAAUCUGAUUGUGAAGCAUCAAAAUAAGAUAAUUACUUUGAAAGACUCGAAAAUCACAUGGGCCAGCAGCCCAAUACAUCAUCUCCAAGGUCACAUUACACUGUUAAAGCAAACACAUUCAUUUUACACCUAUGCAGUCAAGCUUGUUUUCUCCUCUGUCCCAACCUACUAUCCAUAUGGGUCCCAAUUCCCCAUCUGUCAAUUCCUUUUGUUCUUCACAGUUGAGAUUUUAAUUUCAGGGAUAAUAAAAAUUAUCACCAUCAUCAGGUUUGGGUUUGAUGGUGUGUUUUGCUUUUAGAAGCACUGUCAUCCUUUCCCACAAUGCAGAGAAUUGGGAGGACAUGUAUUCCACACAUUUUACAGGUGGAAUAAGAAGCACAGGGCCGAUGGCAACUGGUCUCUCUUGAGAUACCGUCUCCACUUUAAUGUCUCAUGGGCAGUCAACUUCUCAUGGCAAAGCCACUGUCUGGGUUUCCCUUCCUCUUCCUUAACCCUGUCCACUUCUAAAGAUGUCUCACUCAUUUUCACAUCAGUAGAUGGAAACUCCAUCCUUUUUCUUCUCCAGCACACACAUUCUGGUUCACCUUUGUUUGGUUUCUCUUUUCUCUUACUCUCUACACAUCACCAGUAAAUCUCAUGGCCCUCACUUUCAAAAUGUGCUCAAAACGCUGCCUAGUAGUUCUCUUAAUCGCCAAUUGGUCCUAGACACCAAAAUCUCUUACCUAGAUUAUUGCCAUAGCUUCAUAACUAACCCUAUCAUCCUCAACUCUUCCUGUCCCCCAGUAGACACUCAACAGAGUAACUAGAGUGCUUCUUCCCAAAUUUAUCAGUGUCACUUUUUUGCUAAGAACCCUCCAAAGCCUUGUAUGUACUGUGGCCUACAAGGUUCUCCAUGACUGAGCCCCUCUUAUCACUGGCCUGGCUUCCCUCUUGUUCAUUUCCUUCCUACGAACCUGGCCUAGAUGUUAUUCUAUAACUUGCCAAUAGAAUUUUUGCCUUAGGGCUUUUGUACUUACUCUUUCUGACUGGAAUAGAUUCUCUCAUAUAUAUCCAUGUAUCUUUCAUAGACAUCUGCAUAUAUAUGGUUCAUAAAUAAUCUAUAUGUUUAUUAGAGCUUAACUCUCCUUUAUGAAAGACCAACCCUUUUCUCCCCGUUCAACCCUUCCUAAUCUUUUUAUCUUUUUUUAUCCAAAACAAUUAUCACCCUCUGAAUCCUUUAUAUUUUUCUUUUGCUUUUUUCCUACGUUCUUGUACAGGAAUAUAAAUUCCGCAAAGGCAGGGACUUAAUUUGUUCACUGCUAUAUUGUCAGAG
rnacentral:lncRNA from 10 species